AAUGAACGCUGGCGGCGCGCCUAAUACAUGCAAGUCGAGCGAGAAGACGUAGCAAUACGUUUGUAAAGCGGCGAACGGGUGAGGAAUACAUGGGUAACCUACCCUCGAGUGGGGAAUAACUAGCCGAAAGGUUAGCUAAUACCGCGUACGCUCCUUGGACUUCGGUUCAGGGAGGAAAGCGAUACCGUGGGUAUCGCGCUCUUGGAUGGGCUCAUGUCCUAUCAGCUUGUUGGCGAGGUAACGGCUCACCAAGGCUUCGACGGGUAGCUGGUCUGAGAGGACGAUCAGCCACACUGGCACUGCGACACGGGCCAGACUCCUACGGGAGGCGGCAGUAAGG
rnacentral:rRNA from 1 species